rnacentral:rRNA from 1 species
AGUGAACGCUGGCGGCGUGCUUAACACAUGCAAGUCGAACGAGAACGGGUUAUAGCUUGCUAUAAUUGUCAGCUAAGUGGCGCACGGGUGAGUAAUGUAUAGGUAAUAUGCCUCUUACUAAGGGAUAACAAAUGGAAACGUUUGCUAAUACCUUAUACUCCUUAUUAACAUAAGUUAAUAAGGGAAAGAUUUAUUGGUAAGAGAUUAGCCUGUAUUGUAUCAGUUAGUUGGUGGGGUAAUGGCUUACCAAGACUAUGACACAUAACUGGUUUGAGAGGAUGAUCAGGCACACUGGAACUGAGACACGGUCCAGACUCCUACGGGAGGCAGCAGUGGGGAAUAGUGCACAAUGGACGAAAGUCUGAUGCAGCAACGCCGCGUGGAGGAUGACACAUUUCGGUGCGUAAACUCCUUUUAUAUGAGAAGAUAAUGACGGUAUUAUAUGAAUAAGCACCGGCUAACUCCGUGCCAGCAGCCGCAGUAA